AGAGUUUGAUCAUGGCUCAGGAUGAACGCUAGCGGCAGGCUUAAUACAUGCAAGUCGUGGGGCAGCAGGAGUAGCAAUACUUGCUGGCGACCGGCAAACGGGUGCGUAACACGUACGCAACCUUCCUACAGGCGGGGAAUAGCCCAGAGAAAUUUGGAUUAAUACCCCAUAAAAUUUUGAGAUGGCAUCAUCUUAUUAUUAAAGCUUCGGCACCUGAAGAUGGGCGUGCGGCUGAUUAGGUAGUUGGCGGGGUAACGGCCCACCAAGCCUUCGAUCAGUAGCUGAUGUGAGAGCAUGAUCAGCCACACGGGCACUGAGACACGGGCCCGACUCCUACGGGAGGCAGCAGUAAGGAAUAUUGGUCAAUGGACGAAAGUCUGAACCAGCCAUGCCGCGUGGAGGAUGAAGGUCCUCUGGAUUGUAAACUUCUUUUAUUUGGGACGAAAAAAGGGAAUUCUUUCCCACUUGACGGUACCAGAUGAAUAAGCACCGGCUAACUCCGUGCCAGCAGCCGCGGUAAUACGGAGGGUGCAAGCGUUAUCCGGAUUCACUGGGUUUAAAGGGUGCGUAGGCGGAUAGGUAAGUCCGUGGUGAAAUCCUGCAGCUUAACUGCAGAACUGCCAUGGAUACUAUUUAUCUUGAAUGUCGUGGAGGUUAGCGGAAUAUGUCAUGUAGCGGUGAAAUGCUUAGAUAUGACAUAGAACACCCAUUGCGAAGGCAGCUAACUACGCGAAUAUUGACGCUGAGGCACGAAAGCGUGGGGAUCAAACAGGAUUAGAUACCCUAGUAGUCC
rnacentral:rRNA from 1 species